rnacentral:rRNA from 1 species
UACAGAGGUCCCAAGCGUUGUUCGGAUUCAUUGGGCGUAAAGGGUGCGUAGGCGGCGCGGUAAGUCGGGUGUGAAAUCUCGGGGCUUAACUCCGAAACUGCAUUCGAUACUGCCGUGCUUGAGGACUGGAGAGGAGACUGGAAUUUACGGUGUAGCGGUGAAAUGCGUAGAUAUCGUAAGGAAGACCAGUGGCGAAGGCGGGUCUCUGGACAGUUCCUGACGCUGAGGCACGAAAGCCAGGGGAGCAAACGGG